GCAACACAGGCUAUGUUCGCGUCAUCGGCGCAGUUAUCUACCGCUUCACUCUCCCUAUGCCCUUCCAUUUGACGCGGCACUACUUGCCGGUGACCUACACUUCAUUCCUUUCCCAAUUUCUUCGUGAAAUUACCGAAAUACAUAUCAAAUACCAGGCAUACGUACCGAAGAAAGGUAGGAAUCCUUCACUCUCGAGCAUUAAUCGUAACAUUUAUCGACAUUUCAUAUCCUUUUUUCGUACGUCAUAGGUAUAAGUUUAUUUUUUACUUAUAUUCGCGUUUCUCACGAAAAUUACACUACGAUACCGUAUUUUUUUUUCUUAAUUUCCUCGAGAAAGCAGCAAAUUGCUGAAAUAUAUCUGGAAUAUAUGUGUGUGUGGUAACACAGAAAUCGUCCUUUCUUACCCACCAAUCCUUAUCAGUGUUUUUGUGUUUCUCCUUCGUGUUUCUGGUGUAUCAUAUAAUUUAGUUUCGUUACAAUAAAAAAUGUAAUCGAAGAGAAUUGCAUUCUUUGGAAAAAAAUAAAUCCAAAAGAAAUUAAAUAAAGAUACGAAGGUUGGUCAGAUAAGGAUAAAUCAAUAAUGGACUCGGUGUUGAACCUAAAAUUUCUCCCAGCGCUACUGUAUUAGAUAUCAAAUUGAAGAAUUUACACGUAUACUUAUACGUAUAAUCUAUUACAAAUUUUUUUUAUUCAAUUUACAGAUUUGAUACAAAAUAAUUUUAUUAAUCUAUUAUCAAUAAAAAUCGUUAACAUUUAUAAUUAUCAAAUAGGCGGAAAGAUAAUUAAAUCAUUUAUGUAAAUUUUAACAAUUUCAACGCCUUCCAAUACGUAAACUAAAAGCGAAUAACGCAAGUAAAAUUAAGUAAGUAAAAUAACUAAACGUAAUAUUUUUAAAGAAGCCCGUUCACUUUUUAUUAAUCUAUUUACAAUAUGCAAGACGAUUUUUAA